GCGGUAAUACCAGCUCUCCGAGUGGUAGGGACGAUUAUUGGGCUUAAAGCGUCCGUAGCCGGCUUAGCAAGUCUCCUGUUAAAUUCAGCGACCUAAUCGUUGAGCCGCGGGAGAUACUACUAGGCUAGGAGGCGGGAGAGGCCGACGGUAUUCUCAGGGUAGGGGUGAAAUCCUAUAAUCCCGG
rnacentral:rRNA from 1 species